GACGAACGCUGGCGGCGUGCUUAACACAUGCAAGUCGAACGGAAAGGCCCUGCUUUUGUGCGGUGCUCGAGUGGCGAACGGGUGAGUAACACGUGAGUAACCUGCCCUUGUCUUUGGGAUAACUUCAGGAAACUGGGGCUAAUACCGGAUAGGAGCUCCUGCUGCAUGGUGGGGGUUGGAAAGUUUCGGCGGUUGGGGAUGGACUCGCGGCUCAUCAGCAUGUUGGUGUGGUAGUGGCUUACCAAGGCUUUGACGGGUAGCCGGCCUGAGAGGGUGACCGGCAACAUUGGGACUGAGAUAGGGACCAGACUCCUACGGGAGGGAGCGGUGGGGAAUGGUGCACAAUGGGAGGAAGCCUGAUGCAGAAACGCCGCGGGCGGGAGAGCGGCCUUCGGGUUGUAAACCGAUUUCGCCUGUGACGAAGCGUGAGUGACGGUAAUGGGUAAAGAAGCACCGGCUAACUACGUG
rnacentral:rRNA from 1 species